rnacentral:rRNA from 1 species
GAUCCUGGCUCAGGAUGAACGCUAGCGACAGGCUUAACACAUGCAAGUCGAGGGGCAUCAUGAGGUAGCAAUACCUUGAUGGCGACCGGCGCACGGGUGAGUAACGCGUAUGCAACCUGCCUGAUACCGGGGUAUAGCCCAUGGAAACGUGGAUUAACACCCCAUAGUACUUUUAUUCCUCGCAUGGGAGUGUGAGUUAAAAUUAGUUUUAAGGGUUAAGUUCGGAGUGGGCGAUGCGUCCUACUUUAAG